rnacentral:rRNA from 1 species
ACUCAAAUGAAUUGACGGGGACCUGCACAACCAGCGGAGCAUGUGGUUUAAUUCGAGACAAACCGAAGAACCUUACCCAGACUUGACAUGAUACCGUGUAUCUUUCUGGAAACAGAGAGAAAUCCUACAGAAAUGUUGGAUGGUACCACAGGUGUUGCAUGGCUGUCGUCAGCUCGUGCCGUAGGGUGUUCCCUUAAGUGGGGUAACGAGCGCAACCCCUUUCGCGUGUUGCAUUAUUCACGCGAUACAGACCACCUUGAGUGGUAGGAAGCGGGGACGACGUCAAGUCAGCAUGGCCCUUAUGUCUGGGGCAACACACAUACUACAAUGGGACCGACAAACCGUUGCCAAGCCGCAAGGCGGAGCUAAUCGGAGAAACGGUCUCUCAGUUGGGAUUGUGGGCUGAAACUCGCCCACAUGAACAUGGAGUUGGUAGUAAUCGUGGAUCAGCUAAGCCACGGUGAAUACGUUCUCAGGUCUUGUACACACCGCCCGU